GUAGAGUAGGGGCAGGGUGCGGGGGAAAACUGUAGGUUGCGGGCGUGUGCCGGAUUUACUGGGCGUAAAGUGAGCGUAGGCGGAAUUUUAAGUGAGAUGGGAAAUACCCGGGCUCAACUUGGGUGCUGCAUUUCAAACUGGAAGUCUAGAGUGCAGGAGAGGAGAAUGGAAUUCCUAGUGUAGCGGUGAAAUGCGUAGAGAUUAGGAAGAACACCAGUGGCGAAGGCGAUUCUCUGGACUGUAACUGACGCUGAGGCUCGAAAGCGUGGGGAGCAAACAGGAUUAGAUACCCUAGUAGUC
rnacentral:rRNA from 1 species